CUCCCCUCCCCUCCCCUCCCCUCCCCGCAGGGACCUCUGGCCGUGGAAGAAUGGCCAGUAGCUUUUGCAUUUGGGGAUCCGACAAGCUGUGUUGCCUCCCCGGAACCAGGUCUCCUCCAGAACCAGGUGUUUCCUCCAGUCGGCAGCCAGUGGUGCCAGCCCCCAACCGCAGACCCGAAUCUCAGUUCGAGCGGGGGCCUCGGCCCCACGGGGUGCAGCGCUGGGGCGGACUCGGGGUCCUGGCCGCCGGCUGUGUGCACCCGGGUGGUUCCAGAGGGCCAGGCUGGGGGCUGCCCCGGGGGCCUCUGUAGAGAACAUGUGACGUGUCGGACUCCCCCUGACGUCCCUGAGAAGUGACGAGACACAAGCGCCAAGAGGAAAGAAACCGGCCCCUGCGGCCACCUCCGAGGACACAAGUGCACACGUCCCGCGUCGAGCGCGGUGGUGUCGGAACGUGGCGGAGAAGCUGACGUCCUCCGAGGCCCUUCCCGCUGAGCGGCGAGCGGCGUCCUCACGAGUUUGUGUCUUUGUUUUCUCACAGCCGAGACCUCAGCGCCGUCUUCGCCGUGUGAGCCCCCUGCUUGCCCCCGCCGCCCCCAAGCUCCCCGGCAGGCCACCCACGUCCACGGCCCGACCCCCCCCCCCCCCGGUGCCAGGCUCCCCGAGGUGCGCAGGCUGUCGUGGGCGAGAGGCCUGUGGGCCGCGGGCCGCGUCUACGCUGCUCCUGCAGAACGCAGAGCAUCGCCUGCCCUUGUCCACUUGUCUACUGGGCUGUCGGUCUCGUUUUCCUGCCGGUUGGCGAGAGUGCCCGAUGCUCCCGGAGGCCGGUCGUUAACCGUGUCAGGAGCGUGUUUGCGACGGGAACCUAAGGUGUAGAAUUUCCUUGGUGAACCGUGCUUCUGACCAGCUUAUUCAAGAAGUCCUGUCUUCCCAAGGAAACGUUCGGGGUGCUGCUGCUGUGGGGACACGCUCCUGCGGGGAGACCGGGGUCCCCCGGAGACAGCACGUGCUCUAGAGAGACACCGUGAGAGGCCUGGCCCCACCCCUUGUCCCGCAGCAGCUUCCACGCCUGCCGUUGGGGCAGCCCCCUCCCCUGCCCUGCCGCUGGCAGGCAGGCGGUUUUCUGUCUCUGCGGACCGCCCGUUCUGGACGCGCACCCGCUCGCGGCUGUGCACACGGCCUUCGGCCCUCGCGUUGGGCUUGCUUGCGUGUGAAGUUGGCCAGGUUCCGCGGCAGGCAUCGGGACUUCUUUUCUUCUGAGGCCGAAAGAGACUCCACGUACGGACAGACCACGUUUCAUUGACGUGUCCGUUGACGGACCUCAGGCUGUCCCCACGUCGGCCGUCUUGAGCCGCGCUGCCGUGGGCGUCGUGGGCGGUUUGCGUGUGGACGCGGCCCGCCGGCGGAAAUGGAGGGCUGCGUGUUGAACUGCCCGGUGGCCCGAUACUCCUCGUGGCAUACUUUCCACGUAACGCCUUCGUUUCGCCUCCUGCUCCUCCCACGGUCUCUAGAAUUUCGGACCCUUACUAGUCUUUAAUACAAAAAGUAUGUAUUUAAAAA